GAAGUUCGGAUAAUGAAAGGACUCAACCACCCGAAUAUUGUGAAGCUGUUCGAGGUGAUAGAGACAGAGAAGACGCUUUAUCUCAUCAUGGAGUACGCCAGCGGAGGCGAGGUGUUUGAUUACCUCGUGUCUCACGGUCGUAUGAAGGAGAAAGAGGCUCGUGCCAAAUUCAGGCAGGUGAGCAGACGUCUCU